rnacentral:misc_RNA from 1 species
AAGUCGUAACAAGGUUUCCGUAGGUGAACCUGCGGAAGGAUCAUUACCGAAUUGUCAAACACGGGUUGUUGCUGGCCUCCAAAUGGGGGCACGUGCACGCUCUGUUUACACAUCCACUCACACCUGUGCACCCUCUGUAGUCCUAUGGUUCGGAAGACCCCGUCUUCCUUCUGUAGCUCUACGUCUUUACACACACACUGUAGCGAUGUCUCAUGGAAUGUUUUUAUGCGUUUAACGCGAUACAAUACAACUUUCAGCAACGGAUCUCUUGGCUCUC